GGGUUAGUAGGUUGGUCAUGCCUCCGGUAUGUACUGGUCUCACUGAUUCCUCCUUCCUGACGAACCGUAAUGCCAUUAAUUUGGUGUUGCGGGGAAUUUGGACUGUUACUUUGAAAAAAUUAGAGUGUUUAAAGCAGGCAUCCGUCUGAAUACAUUAGCAUGGAAUAAUAAAAUAGGACGGUUUGGUUCUAUUUUGUUGGUUUUAGAAAUAAAGUAAUGAUUAAUAGGGAUAGUUG
rnacentral:rRNA from 1 species